rnacentral:rRNA from 1 species
UAUGUGAUCGUCUCUCGCAUAUCAAUAAGCGGAGGAAAAGAAACUAACAAGGAUUCCCCUAGUAACGGCGAGGUGAGGCGGGAAGAGCUCAAAUUUGAAAUCUUAAAGGGUUUCCCUUUACGAAUUGUAGUUUAAAGAAGUGUUUUCUGUUGAGGUUUUGGUAAAAGUUCUUUGGAAUAGGACAUCAUAGAGGGUGAGAAUCCCGUAUUUGACCUUUACUUUCAACUUUGUGAUACACUUUCAAAGAGUCGGAUUGUUUGGGAAUGCAGUCCAAAAUGGGUGGUAAAUUUCAUCUAAAGCUAAAUAUUGGCGAGAGACCGAUAGCGAACAAGUACCGUGAGGGAAAGAUGAAAAGAACUUUGAAAAGAGAGUUAAACAGUACGUGAAAUUGUCAAAAGGGAAGCGUUUGACACCAGUGUUGUUUUUCUGAAAAUCAAUUAAAGAACUGUUUAUGCUAAGCUGUUUAGACUUUAUCAGCUAUCUGUUUAGUUUUAGGCUUUUCUUUAAUGCACUUUUCAGUUAACAAGUCAACAUCAAUUUCUUUUGCUGUAAAAAAGCUUGAGGAAGGUGGCUUGAGAUUCGUCUUAAGUGUUUAUAGCCUCUUGCCUAUGCAGUCGGAGAGAUUGAGGUCUGCAGCGUAGAUCCUUCGGGGCUAAAUGCAUUUGUGCUAAGUUAUAGCAUUUUAUAGACAACUUGUUGACUAUGAUUUGUCUUGUAGCUUACUCGCUUAUGUUAUUUUACCUACGCUUAGGAUGUUGAUCUACAGAGCGAGAGU